UACGGAGGGUGCGAGCGUUGUCCGGAAUCACUGGGCGUAAAGGGCGCGUAGGCGGCUCGGUAAGGUUGCGGUGAAAGCCCGGGGCUCAACCCCGGGUCGGCCGUGGCAACUGCUGGGCUCGAGCACUGUAGAGGCAGGUGGAAUUCCGGGUGUAGCGGUGGAAUGCGUAGAGAUCCGGAAGAACACCGGUGGCGAAGGCGGCCUGCUGGGCAGUGACUGUAAUGGUCAAUAGCUGACGCUGAGGCGCGACAGCGUGGGGAGCAAACAGG
rnacentral:rRNA from 1 species